UGGCUCAUUUGGUAGAGCAUGGUGCUUGAAACACCAGCAUUGUGGGUUCAACUCCCAC
rnacentral:tRNA from 1 species